AGCUGGUCUGAGAGGACGAUCAGCCACACUGGGACUGAGACACGGCCCAGACUCCGUACGGGAGCAGCAGGUGGGAAUUUUGGACAAUGGGGCGAAAGCCUGAUCCAGCCAUUCCGCGUGAGUGAAGAAGGCCUUCGGGUUGUAAAGCUCUUUCGGCAGGAACGAAACGGCCGUUUCUAAUAAAGACGGCUAAUGACGGUACCUGAAGAAGAAGCACCGGCUAACUACGUGCCAGCAGCCGCGGUAAUACGUAGGGUGCGAGCGUUAAUCGGAAUUACUGGGCGUAAAGCGUGCGCAGGUGGUUGUUUAAGACAGAUGUGAAAUCCCCGGGCUUAACCUGGGAACUGCGUUUGUGACUGGACAGCUAGAGUGCGGCAGAGGGGGGUGGAAUUCCACGUGUAGCAGUGAAAUGCGUAGAGAUGUGGAGGAACACCGAUGGCGAAGGCAGCCCCCUGGGCCAGCACUGACGCUCAUGCACGAAAGCGUGGGGAGCAAACAGG
rnacentral:rRNA from 1 species